rnacentral:rRNA from 1 species
AGUGAACGCUGGCGGCGUGCCUAAUACAUGCAAGUCGAACGGAGUGGCGCACGGGUGAGUAAUAUAUAGCUAAUCUGCCCCUUGCUGGAGGACAACAGUUAGAAAUGACUGCUAAUACUCCAUAGCAAGGGAUGAGACUAUAUCGUAUCAGCUAGUCGGUGGGGUAACGGCCUACCGAGGCUAUGAUGCGUAACUGGUCUGAGAGGAUGAUCAGUCACAGUGUAACUGAGGAACCGGUGAAACUGCUUCGGGAGGCAGCAGGAGGGGAAAUUGCGCAAGGGGGGAAACCCUGGCGGAGCAACGGCGCGUGGAGGACGAUACUUGUCGGAGCGUAAACUCCUUUUGUUAGGGAAGCGGUACCUAACGAAUAAGCACCGGCUAACUCCGUGCCAGCCGCCGCGGUAAUUC